rnacentral:tRNA from 1 species
GCCGGCGUAGCUCAGUGGUAGAGCAGCUGAUUCGUAAUCAGCAGGUCGUAGGUUCAAUCCCUAUCGCCGGCU